CAGUAGCCGCGGUAAUACGGAGGGUGCAAGCGUUAAUCGGAAUUAAUGGGCGUAAAGCGUGCGCAGGCGGUUCGUUAAGACAGAUGUGAAAUCCCCGGGCUUAACCUGGGAACUGCAUUUGUGACUGGCGAGCUAGAGUAUGGCAGAGGGGGGUAGAAUUCCACGUGUAGCAGUGAAAUGCGUAGAGAUGUGGAGGGAUACCGAUGGCGAAGGCAGCCCCCUGGGCCAAUACUGACGCUCAUGCACGAAAGCGUGGGGAGCAAACAGGAUUAGAUACCCCCGUAGUCCCUGUCUCUUAUAC
rnacentral:rRNA from 1 species